UCUCACCCAAACACGAUAAUUUUGAUUUCACUCUCUAAAACCCUCACCUUAUCCCGCCGCACAACAAAACCGAUCCCAACGCCUUCUCUUCGACGCCCACAGCAAGUUUCCGUCACCCAUAGCCGCCUCCACCAACUGUGUCUCAAACCCACUGGCGCCGCCACCAGCGAUCCGUUUCACCACCAUCUGUUGCCGCUAACAUUUCGAAUUGUAAAGAAUUGAGAUUGUAUCUUGGCCUUUGAUUUAGGUAUUUUCUUCUAGUGUUUUUCCACUAUUGAUCAGGUUCACUUGCCUCCAUUUUCUAGUCUUUGUCCGUACUUACCAAAGGUUUUUAGUUGCAAAAUGCAAAUCCCAUUUUGAGAUUGUUUUCAUAAUUUUAUUUGUUAAUUGCCAUUGAAAUUGAGAAGUUAUUUGGUUGAGUUUUGUGUUUUUAGCAUUUUGGUUAAACUUCUUGUUGAAUAUCAAUAGACCCACCAUUGUUCAUCGCCGCCAGUACGUCCAUUACCGUGGCCAGACUAUUCAUUCUUUAUAAGAGAAAAUCACCCAUCAAAAGUCAAUAAAUUGUACAAAAUCAAGCUCUAAUGUUUCUCCUUUCUCAAUAAAAAAGUUUGUGAGCAUUUCUUCAACUAUUAUUCAUCUCCAAUUUUGGUCCUAUGUUGUCAUUUUUGUCAUAAUCUUCGUCUUCCUGGUGUUGUUAUGCUUUAGCUGCUUUCUAAUGCGCAUACUUUUGGAACUAUUUUCUUGAGGAAAUGGUGAUUAUUGUUUGGAGGAAAUAGAUGAAAUACUUUUUGGAUGAUUGUAGGAUAUUUUAGUAACAGGAUACUCUGUUUAUAUAAGAUUUGAGCAGGACUAUUUGUGCAAGAAUUAUACCCAGACUGCUGGUUGCUGGUUUCUGUUUCUGGUGCUCAGUGCAUCAGCAGCCAGCCUUGAGCUGUUGUGUAUGCUGACUGCCUUCUUCUGAUGGGGUCUUCAAGUGUUUCGUGCUACUGCCUGCUGCUUGCCUUGAGUGUGCACUUGCUGCCUGCAUCAUUAACAACUGUUGUCUGAAGGUGCAGCCCCUGGUUUUGGUGAAUCCAGUAGAGAGUGUUUGUAUGUGCUGUACUCCAGACCCAUAUGCAGGAGGAGUGUUGGUCAUUAGAUUUAAGUUUUGUACCUGUGUAUUUAUUUUGGCAUUAAUGUAAUGGUCUAAUCUAGACCUUAUACUUGGAUAUUUGGGUUUUAUCCCUAACUGUAAAUGAUUUGGUUAAGUUUUAUAUAUAAAAUCGAUCGACAAAUAAUAAUAAUAAUAAUAAUAAUUAUUAUUAUUAUUAUUAUUAUUAUUGAAAAUAAUAAUUAAAAAUAA